CCAGUUGGCUGGGCAGCCGCGCUUUACCAAUGCCGAAAGGCGGUAGGGUGAGGAAAGUCCGGGCUCCACGGAAACACGGUGCCGGAUAACGUCCGGCGAGGGCGACCUCAGGGAAAGUGCCACAGAAAGCAAACCGCCUGUCAUGACAGGUAAGGGUGAAAGGGUGGGGUAAGAGCCCACCGCAUCUCCGGCAACGGAAAUGGCACGGUAAACCCCACCGGGAGCAAGACCGAAUAGGGAUGACGUGGCAGGUCGAAAGGCCUUCCGGCCGGUUUCCAGGCCAGUCAUCCGGGUGGGUUGCGCGAGGCAGCGUGCGAACGCUGUCCCAGAGGAAUGGCUGCCACGUUCCGGUUCACGCCGGAGCCAUACAGAACCCGGCUUACAGGCCAACUGGCGAU
rnacentral:RNase_P_RNA from 7 species